rnacentral:rRNA from 1 species
UGGCUCAGAAUGAACGCGGGCGGCGUGCNUAACACAUGCAAGUCGGAUGUGCCGCAAGGUGCAUGGCAGACGGGUGAGUAACGCGUAGGGAAUCUACCUCUUUGUGGGGAAUAACGCUCCGAAAGGAGUGGUAAUACCGCAUGAGACCGCGAGCUGGGAUGCUCGUGGUGAAACCUGGGGACCGCAAGGCCUGGGGCAAGGAGAGGAUCCUGCGUCUGAUUAGCUAGUUGGCGGGGUAAUGGCCCACCAAGGCGACGAUCAGUAGCCGGCCUGAGAGGGUGAUCGGCCACACUGGAACUGAGACACGGUCCAGACUCCUACGGGAGGCAGCAGUGGGGAAUUUUGCGCAAUGGACGAAAGUCUGACGCAGCAACGCCGCGUGGGUGAUGAAGGUCUUCGGACUGUAAAACCCUGUCGUCAGGGACGAAGGUUUGGGGGUUAAUAACCCUUAAGCUUGACGGUACCUGGAGAGGAAGCCCCGGCUAACUCUGUGCCAGCAGCCGCGGUAAUACAGAGGGGGCAAGCGUUAUUCGGAAUUAUUGGGCGUAAAGGGCGCGUAGGCGGUUUUUUAAGUCAGAUGUGUAAUCCCCGAGCUUAACUUGGGAACUGCAUCUGAGACUGGAAGGCUAGAGUACUGGAGAGGGUGGUGGAAUUCCUCGUGUAGCGGUGAAAUGCGUAGAGAUGAGGAGGAACACCAGUGGCGAAGGCGGCCACCUGGACAGUAACUGACGCUGAGGCGCGAAAGUGUGGGUAGCAAACAGGAUUAGAUACCCUGGUAGUCCACGCUGUAAACGAUGAACACUUGGUGUGGAGGGAGUUGACCCCUUCCGUGCCGGAGCUAACGCGUUAAGUGUUCCGCCUGGGGAGUACGGUCGCAAGGCUGAACUCAAAU